GACGAACGCUGGCGGCGUGCUUAACACAUGCAAGUCGAACGGUGAAGCGCCUUUCUUUUUGGUCGGUGUGGAUGAGUGGCGAACGGGUGAGUAACACGUGAGUAACCUGCCUCCUUCUUCUGGAUAACCGCAUGAAAGUGUGGCUAAUACGGGAUACUCUGGGUCUGUCGCAUGAUGGGUCUGGGAAAGAUAUUGUUUCGGUGGGGGAUGGGCGCGCGGCCUAUCAGCUUGUUGGUGGGGUGAUGGCCUACCAAGGCGGUGACGGGUAGCCGGCCUGAGAGGGUGGGCGGUCACACGGGGACUGAGACACGGCCCAGACUCCUACGGGAGGCAGCAGUGGGGAAUAUUGCACAAUGGGCGCAAGCCUGAUGCGGCGACGCCGCGUGAGGGAUGGAGGCCUGCGGGUUGUGAACCUCUUUCGCUAGUGAAGCAGGCCUGCCUCGUUUGUGGGUGGGUUGACGGUAGCUGGAUAAGAAGCGCCGGCUAACUACGUG
rnacentral:rRNA from 1 species